UACGGGGGGAGCAAGCGUUGUUCGGAAUUAUUGGGCGUAAAGAGCGUGUAGGCGGCCCGACAAGUCCGCUGUGAAAGCCCCGGGCUUAACCUGGGAAUGGCGGUUGAAACUGGCGAACUUGAAUCUGGCAGAGGGGGGUGGAAUUCCACGUGUAGCAGUGAAAUGCGUAGAGAUGUGGAGGAACACCGAUGGCGAAGGCAGCCCCCUGGGCUGAGAUUGACGCUCAGGCACGAAAGCGUGGGGAGCAAACAGG
rnacentral:rRNA from 1 species